rnacentral:lncRNA from 1 species
CUUCCCGGCUUCUCCAGUCGCGGUUCCCGGAGUGGGUACCGAGCCCGGGGCCGUGGGGUGCCAUGCUGCCCGGGUGGCGGCGCUGAAGCAUGGCGACGCCCGUCCCUCCGCCUUCCCCGCGGCACCUGCGGCUGCUGCGGCUGCUGCUCUCCGGCCUUAUUCUGGGAGCGGCCCUGAAUGGUGCCACCGCCCGCCGCCCGGAUGCUCCCACCUGCCCUGGAAGCCUGGAUUGUGCACUGAAGAGGCGGGCAAAGUGCCCACCAGGGGCACAUGCCUGCGGACCAUGCCUUCAGUCCUUCCAGGAGGACCAGAGAGGGGUCUGUGUGCCGAGGAAGCACCAAUCUUCUGGUAUGGCAGAGUAUAGAUUCAGGGAAAUAGAUGCAUGAGAUGUGUUUCCUCCCUCUCUUCCCUGCCCUGUGGGUCCAGACCUAAGAA